UACAGAGGUGGCAAGCGUUGUUCGGAAUUACUGGGCGUAAAGGGCGCGUAGGUGGCCUUCUAAGUUGAACGUGAAAUCCCUGGGCUCAACCCAGGAACUGCGUCCAAGACUGGGAGGCUUGAAUCCGGGAGAGGGAUGCGGAAUUCCAGGUGUAGCGGUGAAAUGCGUAGAUAUCUGGAGGAACACCGGUGGCGAAGGCGGCAUCCUGGACCGGUAUUGACACUGAGGCGCGAAAGCCAGGGGAGCAAACGGG
rnacentral:rRNA from 1 species